UGGGGAAUAUUGCACAAUGGGCGCAAGCCUGAUGCAGCCAUGCCGCGUGUAUGAAGAAGGCCUUCGGGUUGUAAAGUACUUUCAGCGGGGAGGAAGGUGUUGUGGUUAAUAACCACAGCAAUUGACGUUACCCGCAGAAGAAGCACCGGCUAACUCCGUGCCAGCAGCCGCGGUAAUACGGAGGGUGCAAGCGUUAAUCGGAAUUACUGGGCGUAAAGCGCACGCAGGCGGUCUGUCAAGUCGGAUGUGAAAUCCCCGGGCUCAACCUGGGAACUGCAUCCGAAACUGGCAGGCUUGAGUCUUGUAGAGGGGGGUAGAAUUCCAGGUGUAGCGGUGAAAUGCGUAGAGAUCUGGAGGAAUACCUGUGGCGAAGGCGGCCCCCUGGACAAAGACUGACGCUCAGGUGCGAAAGCGUGGGGAGCAAACA
rnacentral:rRNA from 1 species